GAGUUUGAUCAUGGCUCAGGACAAACGCUGGCGGCGUGCAUAACACAUGCAAGUCGAACGAAAUCUACAUGAUUUAGUGGCGAACGGGUGAGUAACACGUGAGAAACCUGCCUUACACAGAGGGAUAGCCGUUGGAAACGACGAUUAAUACCUCAUGACACCGUGACAUCGCAUGAUGAUGCGGUCAAAGAUUAAUCGGUGUAAGAUGGUCUCGCGCCUGAUUAGCUGGUUGGUGGGGUAACGGCCUACCAAGGCGACGAUCAGUAGCCGAUCUGAGAGGGUGGACGGCCACAUUGGGACUGAGACACGGCCCAAACUCCUACGGGAGGCAGCAGUGGGGAAUUUUGCACAAUGGGGGAAACCCUGAUGCAGCGACGCCGCGUGAACGAAGAAGGCCUUCGGGUUGUAAAGUUUCUGUNCCUUGGUGAAGAUAAUGACCGUACCCAGAAG
rnacentral:rRNA from 1 species